AUUGAACGCUGGCGGCAUGCUUUACACAUGCAAGUCGAACGGUAACAGGGAGCUUGCUCCGCUGACGAGUGGCGAACGGGUGAGUAAUGCGUCGGAACGUGCCGAGUAGUGGGGGAUAACGCAUCGAAAGGUGUGCUAAUACCGCAUACGUACUGAGGUAGAAAGUGGGGGACCUUCGGGCCUCACGCUAUUCGAGCGGCCGACGUCUGAUUAGCUAGUUGGUGAGGUAAAGGCUCACCAAGGCGACGAUCAGUAGCGGGGCUGAGAGGAUGUUCCACCAGACUGGGACUGAGACACCGCCCAGACUCCUACGGGAGGCAGCAGUAGGGAAUUUUGGACCAUGGGCGCAAGCCUGAUCCAGCCAUGCCGCGUGUCUGAGGAAGGCCUUCGGGUUGUAAAGGACUUGUGUCCGGGAGCAAAUGCCUGGUGUUAAUAGCACUGGGAGCUGAGAGUACCGGAAGAAUAAGCACCGGCUAACUACGUGCCAGCCGCCGCAGUAACAC
rnacentral:rRNA from 1 species